AUUUUAAUCAUUAUAAGGGUGGAGUGAAAGUGCUGAUCACAGGACCAUGGAAUUCAGGAACUUCCAUAUAUACAGCCAUAUUUGAUGGUGUUAGUGCCCCCACAACCUUGGUACAAAAUGGAGUUCUCCGCUGCUUUUGCCCAGCUCAUGAAUCUGGCAUGGUGACUCUACAAGUGGCUUGCCAGGGCAUUGUAGUUUCCAACUCUGUUGCAUUUGAAUAUCGUAAAAGAAGCAUGGUGUGUGUCAUUAAUGAACAGGACUGGUUUUCUGUGGAUGAGCGCGUGUUAAAAUUUUCUCUGUUGGAAAGGCUUGAAAUGAUGGAGACAAAAAUGAUCUUCGAAUUACAGGAGCCAGCAGAAUUUUUUACACAAGUA